UGAAUACGAGACGCUAAGGCGUCGAAGUAGUGUAUGUCAUACUUCCAAGAAAAGCUUGCACUGUCAUAAGUAAAAAAUGCCUGUACCAUAACCGACACAGGUGGGUAGGUAGAGUAUACUAAGGGGCGCGAGAUAACUCUCUCUAAGGAACUCGGCAAAAUAACUCCGUAACUUCGGGAGAAGGAGUACCUUAUUCUAUAAGGUUGCAAUAACAAGAUCCAAGCAACUGUUUAUCAAAAACACAGGUCUCCGCUAAGUCGUAAGACGAUGUAUGGGGGCUGACGCCUGCCCAGUGCCAGAAGGUUAAAGAAGUCGGUUAGCAUUAGCGAAGCUGGUAACUGAAGCCCUGGUGAACGGCGGCCGUAACAAUAACGGUCCUAAGGUAGCGAAAUUCCUUGUCGGGUAAGUUCCGACCCGCACGAAAGGCGUAAUGAUUUGGAUACUGUCUCGGAGAGGGGCUCGGUGAAAUAGACUUGUCUGUGAAGAUGCGGACUACCUGCACCAGGACAGAAAGACCCUAUGAAGCUUUACUGUAACUUGAAAUUGAAAUUGGACUUUAUUCGCGCAGUAUAGGUGGGAGGUGUUGAUUAUAAUCUUGCGGGAUUAUUGGAGCCAUCAGUGAGAUACCACUCUUGUAUGUUAGAUUUCUAACUUUGAAUCAUUAUCUGGUCAAAGGACAGUUUCAGGCGGGCAGUUUGACUGGGGCGGUCGCCUCCCAAACGGUAACGGAGGCGUACAAAGGUUUCCUCUGAACGGGUAGAAAUCGUAUCUAGAGUGUAAAGGCAUAAGGAAGCUUGACUGUGAGACCUACAAGUCGAACAGGGACGAAAGUCGGUCUUAGUGAUCUGACGGUACUGAGUGGAAAGGCCGUCACUCAACGGAUAAAAGUUACUCUAAGGAUAACAGGCUGAUCUCCCCCAAGAGUUCACAUCGACGGGGAGGUUUGGCACCUUGAUGUCGGCUCAUCGCAUCCUGGGGCGGUAGUACGUCCCAAGGGUUGGGCUGUUCGCCCAUGAAAGCGGUACGCGAGCUGGGUUCAGAACGUCGUGAGACAGUUCGGUCCAUAUCCGGUGUAGGCGUUAGAAUAUUGAGAGGAGCCUUCUUUAGUACGAGAGGACCGAGAAGGACAUACCUCUGGUGUACCAGUUAUCGUGCCAACGGUAAACGCUGGGUAGCUAUGUAUGGAGUGGAUAACCGCUGAAAGCAUCUAAGUGGGAAGCCCACCUCAAGAUAAGUA
rnacentral:rRNA from 1 species